CAGUACCUCAUAUGUUUCAAGCUGUCAUUCUGAUCAAGUCUGCAACAAAAACAAAAGUCUUUAAGAAAAUUUUGUUUUGCUUGUUCCAAAAUUAGUCAUGGCGGAUACUAGAAGUGUGAUUAUUUCGUGUCUGUUUGUCUGCACUCUCUUUGCUUCGAAUACGCUCAUGUGCACUGCAAAAGUAGAUCUCGAGUGUACUCGAAAGGUGGAAGAAGGCGGUAAAACAAUAGUAAAAACAGGAUAUCUUAUUUUCGUUGGAUUAUGCUCUACUUUAAAGGCCUGUGAUGAAUUAUGCUCCAGCCGAACAGAUACAUCUGGCAAAACCAAAGAAGGGAAAAGUGGUAACUGCUUCGUUUAUCCGCAGGCAAGUCCUAUAUUGGUAUGUGGCUGCUGCCAAGUGCCAUAAAUAAAUCAAUGCGAAGCUAAAUGGCUGUAUAGGUUUUGCUAUCGAAGCUUUGCAUUAGUUAUUUCCGGUGCCGGUCUUUCUGGAAUUUGAUGGGUCUUUGUGUUCAUUUUGUUGUCUUUGGUUUUUACGUGCCUAUCAGUUGUUUAUGCCUCGGCAUUCUUUUUUUCUUCUUCCAUAGGUGUUAUACUUUUAUGUAUCUUCCUUCCCUUGUAGAUUGUCAAAAACAUAAAUAAAGAAAGAAAUAAAGACAGGGCUUUGCUUUGUCUGGUUUUUUGA